rnacentral:rRNA from 1 species
UCCUCCGCUUAUUGAUAUGCUCCUCCGUAGGUGAACCUGCGGAGGGAUCAAUAUAGAGUUUUCUAAACUCCCAACCCAUGUGAACUUACCUUUUGUUGCCUCGGCAGAAGUUAUAGGUCUUCUUAUAGCUGCUGCCGGUGGACCAUUAAACUCUUGUUAUUUUAUGUAAUCUGAGCGUCUUAUUUUAAUAAGUCAAAACUUUCAACAACGGAUCUCUUGGUUCUGGCAUCGAUGAAGAACGCAGCGAAAUGCGAUAAGUAAUGUGAAUUGCAGAAUUCAGUGAAUCAUCGAAUCUUCGAACGCACAUUGCGCCCAUUAGUAUUCUAGUGGGCAUGCCUGUUCGAGCGUCAUUUCAACCCUUAAGCCUAGCUUAGUGUUGGGUAUCUACUUCUUUUAUUAGUUGUAGUUCCUGAAAUACAACGGCGGAUUUGUAGUAUCCUCUGAGCGUAGUAAUUUUUUUCUCGCUUUUGUUAGGUGCUAUAACUCCCAGCCGCUAAACCCCCAAUUUUUUGUGGUUGACCUCGGAUCAGGUAGGAAUACCCGCUGAACUUAAGCAUAUCAAUAAGCGGAGGA